CUACAAAGGAAUCAAAAUCAAGGAUUGUUCAUUAUUUCCUACUCCAAAAUAUUAACAAUUACAAAACUCAACAACAAGUUUCUGUCUUUAUCUUUUUCAGACAAAACUCAAAGCAGAAAACAAGUUUCUCUCUUUAUUAUUUUUUCAGACAAAGCAGACAACAAGUUUCUCUCUUUGUCCUUUUCAGACAAAACUCAAAGCAAAACUCGGUAGAGAAGCAGACAUCUUUGGUAGAUCCAAAUUCAAAGUUUGUCUCUUUAUCUUUUUCAUAUCGACAGCGUUUUUGGGCAAUCGAAAGGGAAACUAAAGGACUAGUCUAGAGAUCAAGAAACUCAGAUCCGUACGAUAUAGAGUAAUAACCAAAGAGUCAAACCAGAGUUCGAAUCAGACGAAGCCAAAUAAUCACAUGCAUACGCAGUGGAGAAAUCAUAUGCACACACAAACGUAUGUUUCAACAUUAGGAGGCUGAAGACGAGAACGUACCGUCACCAUCCUUGUCGAAUAAGCUGAAGGCUUCCUUGAAUUCAGAGAUCUGAUCGUCGGUGAGUUGAUCCGCCAUUGUUUCUUUUUCUUCUCGUUUAGGUUCCUUUUUUUUUCUUUCUCUCAAAUCGAGAGGAAGAAGAAGAAGAAGAGAGAGAUUAGAGAAGUGUCAGCGUGGAAACGAGAGAAACACCGUCUUUAUCGGAUCCUAUUAACGACUUUUACUCUGACCCGGUUUUCUUCAAACCCGCCAGAGUGGACGACAAUGAUCGCAUCACACGUUUACGCGGUCUGUACGCGGAGCAUUGACUCUCAUGUCAGCAUAACGUUCAUAUCUCUAUUUAAGCUAACUUCGUGUUUUGUCCUUUUUGAUCAUUGUUAAUUUUAUUUUAUUUUGUUUAGUAAAAUGAUUUCAAUUUAUAAUUCAUAUUCAAUUUUUAUAGAAUUUUUUUUCCAUAUCACAUAUAUGUUUGAUUCUUCUAAUCAAUAUAUAUCAUAUAUGAAUAUAUAUACAUAACUAACCCAGUGAUGGUAUCUUAGUGGUAAUUUCUUGGGGUUUGGUGUGUAUCCACAUUAAUACUGAGUUUGAUUCCCACUUGGAACUAAAUUAUCAUUACUUGGUGAGUCUGGGUUGAAGCUUUGGUCCUAGUGGUUUACAUGGUGGGUCAUAACAGAUGACGAGAUGAAACCGUUCUGGUCCUUGUCAAAGACCCGGAAUGCCUCCUUGAGCUCUUCCUCGGAGUCGGUGUCCUUCAUCUUACGGGCCAUGAGGUUCAAGAACUCGGGGAAAUCAAUGGUGCCGUUACCAUCAGCGUCAACUUCAUUGAUCAUGUCUUGGAGCUCUGCUUCUGUUGGGUUCUGUCCUAGAGAACGCAUCACAGUUCCCAGCUCCUUGGUGGUAAUGCAACCUACAAAGGAAUCAAAAUCAAGGAUUGUUCAUUAUUUCCUACUCCAAAAUAUUAACAAUUACAAAACUCAACAACAAGUUUCUGUCUUUAUCUUUUUCAGACAAAACUCAAAGCAGAAAACAAGUUUCUCUCUUUGUCCUUUUCAGACAAAACUCAAAGCAAAACUCGGUAGAGAAGCAGACAUCUUUGGUAGAUCCAAAUUCAAAGUUUGUCUCUUUAUCUUUUUCAUAUCGACAGCGUUUUUGGGCAAUCGAAAGGGAAACUAAAGGACUAGUCUAGAGAUCAAGAAACUCAGAUCCGUACGAUAUAGAGUAAUAACCAAAGAGUCAAACCAGAGUUCGAAUCAGACGAAGCCAAAUAAUCACAUGCAUACGCAGUGGAGAAAUCAUAUGCACACACAAACGUAUGUUUCAACAUUAGGAGGCUGAAGACGAGAACGUACCGUCACCAUCCUUGUCGAAUAAGCUGAAGGCUUCCUUGAAUUCAGAGAUCUGAUCGUCGGUGAGUUGAUCCGCCAUUGUUUCUUUUUCUUCUCGUUUAGGUUCCUUUUUUUUUCUUUCUCUCAAAUCGAGAGGAAGAAGAAGAAGAAGAGAGAGAUUAGAGAAGUGUCAGCGUGGAAACGAGAGAAACACCGUCUUUAUCGGAUCCUAUUAACGACUUUUACUCUGACCCGGUUUUCUUCAAACCCGCCAGAGUGGACGACAAUGAUCGCAUCACACGUUUACGC
rnacentral:lncRNA from 1 species